CUGACAGUUCCCGUGUGGAGCCUCCCCAGCAUUCAAGGAGAACCCGCGAGAACUGCGCCGCGCCUGCCUGACAGUUCCCGUGUGGAGCCUCCCCCAGCAUUCAAGGAGAACCCGCGAGAACUGCGCCGCGCCUGCCUGACAGUUCCCGUGUGGAGCCUCCCCAGCAUUCAAGGAGAACCCGCGAGAACUGCGCCGCGCCUGCUCGAGAGUUCCCGUGUGGAGUCUCCCCAGCAGCCAUCAGCACGGCAGCCAUCAGCAGAGCAUGCAGCUUUAACUUGUGCCUAUUAACUGAUGUCUGCACGUGGUGAAGGAAGAAAUUCACAUGGUUCAGAAGGGCCCUCAGUGAAAUCACAGGCCUUCUCACUCCACUGAGGUAACCACUGGCCAUAGCUUCUGGCUCCGGUUCUUCUCUGUUCUCUGCCCCUGCCCUGUCUUCCAUUCCAAGCCCACGGCCCGGGAGCACAGUGAGUGAGCAGGUCCCUCUUCCUUGCCUGUCCCAUCCUCAUGGAGAGCACACAUCAGUCAGCAGGAGCUCCAUGCAGUGCUUAGCUAGUCACAGCUGCCCUGGGAAACAAUUACAGGUUGACAAAUGCAAACACUGAUGACAAAUGAUGCUGAGAGGCCCUGAGAAGCAGGCAUCCUCAGAUAUUGAGGGCGGCACUGCACAACGGUGAGCAAAACUGCAUAUGCGCUUACUCAUGACCCUGCAAACACACUUCCUGGAAUCUAACUUAAAGCUACAUUUGCAAAAAUGUGCAAACAUGUAGGCAAAAGGGUAUCUACUCACUGCAGCCAAAGGCCAGCCAGGGACAGCCCACAUGUCAAAACAGCAGGAAACUGAUGGAAUACAUUAUGUGUGCAAUGCAAUUGUAAAAAGGAAAGAGGAAUCUGGGCAGGGGUUAUGUUGAAGUUGUUAUAUUAUUCUCUUGAGUUUUGUAUUUCUUUUGGAAAAAAAGUAUCAUACAAUGUUAAAUUCUGCACCCAGCCCCCGCCCCCAGGGAGACGGGUCCUGAGAGAAAGUCGGGGCAUCUUUUAUGAACACAGAGAUCUGAGGGUGGCCUGUGCCUCUUCAGGAGCUCACAGCAGCCUUCUAGUUGAGGAGUGUUAAUAGAGUUUCUAAAGUUUGAAAGUCACUGCUGUAUAAGACUUAUGCCUGGCUACUUUACAGAGAAAUAUUUUGUUGCCAUCGCAAUUCUUUUCCAUUCUUCAAAUUUAUGAGCCUGGCUGCUCUUCAGACAUCCCCUGGCUGCAUCCACUUCAGCUGGCAUUGUCCCUGGCUGCCGGCAUGCAACUGCAGUGAAAUGUGUUGCUACAGCUUGAGUUACCUCUUGCCUUUUCAGUACUGAAUAGCCCCAAAGUCUCUCUCUCUCUCUCUCUCUCUCUCUCUGAGCCCUUAGGAAGCACUGCUCAUGGGAGCUAGGGCAUUACUAGGACUGCUAGAUGUCUUUCGCAGCCAAAACACACAGCCCCCACAAAAUCCCCACCCACUUGCCCCUGGCACUGAAAAGCAGCAGCCAUGCAAAUGAAUACAUGAAAUGGGUAAAAGCUUUGUGUCCAGACAAAAACUUGCACAGGGAUGUUUAUAGCAGCUUUAUUCAUAACUGCCAAAACUGGGAAGCAACCACCAUGUCUUUCAGCAAGCGGGUGGCAAAAUAAACUGUGGUACAUUCAGAGAAUGCAAUAUUAUUCGGUAGUAAAAUGAAAUGAGCUAUCAAGCCAUGGAAACACAUGGAGGAAAGUGACACACAUGUCACAGAGUCAAAGAAGUCAAUCCGAAGAGGCUACCCGCUGUAUGGUUCCAACUGAACGACAUUCUGGAAAAGGCAAAACAAUGGAGACAGGAAAACGAUCAGUGGUUCCUGGGGGCUAGAGGAGAGAGAGGGAUGGGUAGGAGGAGCACGGGAUUUUUAGGGCAGUGAAACUACUCUGUACAAUACUGCAACAGUGGAUACAGGGCAUUAUACAUUGGUCCAAACCCACACAAUAUACAACACCAAGAGUGAAGCAUAAUGUAAACUGUGGUCUCUGUGUAACGAUGUAUCGAUGUGACUUCAUCAAUCAUAAAGAAAGGUGCCACUCUGCUGGGAAUGUGGACGGCCGGGGAGGCUAUGCUUGUGUGAGGACCCUCUGCUCUUCUUGCUAUCUUGCUGUGAAUCUAAAACUGCUGUAAAAAGAUAAAAUAUUUUUUUUUAAAUGAGAUUUUGUUGAUAAAUAGAAUGUGUUAGAGAAAUUGUUAUGUGCCCAUUAAGUGGGAGGUAUGUUAUGCAGAAAUGCCAGCCGCGUAAUUUGACCAUCUCAUGAUUUCUUAUUCCUACAAAGACAGACGUGGCUCAUAGCUUGGUCCACCCAAUGCAGAAACAAUAUGAAUAAGCAUUUCCAUUCUAGCCUAAACACCUUCCCCCUAAUGCUUCCAAAUCCUUUAUUUCCUUUCCCAACUCAAAAGCAGUAAAUUGAAGGUAGUAGUUUUAGGAUCCUAUCUGAAUUUUCCACAUAACUAACUUUUCUUUUUUCUUAAAUCUUGGCAACUUAUGAAUCUGCACAUGUUCCUCUGCC